rnacentral:rRNA from 1 species
AACGAACGCUGGCGGCAUGCCUAACACAUGCAAGUCGAACGGGAUCCGGACUUCGGUCCGGUGAGAGUGGCGGACGGGUGAGUAACACGUGGGAACCUGCCUUUUGGUUCGGGAUAACCGCGGGAAACUGCGGCUAAUACCGAAUGCUCCCGAGAGGGGAAAGAUUUAUCGCCAGAAGAGGGGCCCGCGUCCGAUUAGGUAGUUGGUGGGGUAAUGGCCUACCAAGCCGACGAUCGGUAGCUGGUCUGAGAGGAUGAUCAGCCACACUGGGACUGAGACACGGCCCAGACUCCUACGGGAGGCAGCAGUGGGGAAUAUUGCACAAUGGGCGAAAGCCUGAUGCAGCGACGCCGCGUGAAGGAUGAAGGUCUUCGGAUUGUAAACUUCUAUCAGCAGGGAAGAAAGGGCCUAUGGCCUAUGACGGUACCUGACUAAGAAGCCCCGGCUAACUACGUG